rnacentral:rRNA from 1 species
CCUACGGGAGGCAGCAGUAGGGAAUCUUCCGCAAUGGACGAAAGUCUGACGGAGCAACGCCGCGUGAGUGAUGAAGGUUUUCGGAUCGUAAAGCUCUGUUGUUAGGGAAGAACAAGUACCGUUCGAAUAGGGCGGUACCUUGACGGUACCUAACCAGAAAGCCACGGCUAACUACGUGCCAGCAGCCGCGGUAAUACGUAGGUGGCAAGCGUUGUCCGGAAUUAUUGGGCGUAAAGGGCUCGCAGGCGGUUUCUUAAGUCUGAUGUGAAAGCCCCCGGCUCAACCGGGGAGGGUCAUUGGAAACUGGGGAACUUGAGUGCAGAAGAGGAGAGUGGAAUUCCACGUGUAGCGGUGAAAUGCGUAGAGAUGUGGAGGAACACCAGUGGCGAAGGCGACUCUCUGGUCUGUAACUGACGCUGAGGAGCGAAAGCGUGGGGAGCGAACAGGAUUAGAUACCCUGGUAGUCCACGCCGUAAACGAUGAGUGCUAAGUGUUAGGGGGUUUCCGCCCCUUAGUGCUGCAGCUAACGCAUUAAGCACUCCGCCUGGGGAGUACGGUCGCAAGACUGAAACUCAAAGGAAUUGACGG